rnacentral:rRNA from 1 species
CCUACGGGUGGCUGCAGUGGGGGAUAUUGCACAAUGGGGGAAACCCUGAUGCAGCGACGCCGCGUGUGGGAAGACGGUCCUCUGGAUUGUAAACCACUGUCCCCAGGGACGAAGAUGACGGUACCUUGGGAGGAAGCUCCGGCUAACUACGUGCCAGCAGCCGCGGUAAUACGUAGGGAGCGAGCGUUGUCCGGAAUUACUGGGUGUAAAGGGAGCGUAGGCGGUCUGGAAAGUCAGCGGUAAAAUCGAGAGGCUCAACCUCUUUCCGCCGUUGAAACUGUAGGUCUUGAGUGGGCGAGAAGUAUGCGGAAUGCGUGGUGUAGCGGUGAAAUGCAUAGAUAUCACGCAGAACUCCGAUUGCGAAGGCAGCAUACCGGCGCGCGACUGACGCUGAGGCACGAAAGCGUGGGUAUCGAACAGGAUUAGAUACCCGUGUAGUC